UUUCAUCUUCCUUAGGUAUUUAGAGGGUUUAGUUUAUAAUAAUAAUAAUGAAAAACAUCUUAAAGUUUGGAAAACAACAAAACAUAAAUAACCCCAAGAACUUUUAGGAAAUUGGAUGGAAAUCUUCAGUCUUGAUGUAGAUCCUAGCUCCGAGGUGAUUUUGAUGGCUAUUCACGAGUAUUUUCUGCCUCCAACUCUAUGUGUCCUCCUAAUCCUCUUCUAGGGUGUUCAUAUAGGCUUUAGAAUGCAUCGGAACCCUUAAAAGUAGCCUUUUCCGAGUAGAACUAGACUUGGGCUCAACAGGGACACGGCCGUGUGCCACGCCCGUGUGCAAGUGCUCAAACUGUGUGUAAUUCUAAGUUGGUUUCUAGUCGACACGGCCAUGACACACGGGAGUGUGGUCUACCCGUGUGCUUCACACGGGCGUGUGGUUUACCCGUGUGAAACACUAUUUUAAGCCAAAUUUAUCCGUUUUGGCCUGUUUCUCGCUCCUUUUGCUAUCCGAAGCUCUCCUGAGUAUAAAACAUGAAAUUAAAGGAUUAGGAGCAUCAAAUUCACUAAAAUCAAGGAAAAAUCAUUCAUAAAUAUGCCAAGCAUGGGGCAAAAAUAUGUAUAAAUUGCGGUUUAUCAUGGUUCGGGACUAAACCGAUAACAUACGAAUUUUUUGGAAAACGUAAAAAUUUUUCAUCAACACAGGGGUCACACGCCCAUGUGAAUAGGCUGUGUGCCUCACACGGCUUUAGACACGACUGUGUCACAAGCCGUGUAGAAACAGGGCAUACAUACUAACUUGCAUCACACGGUCAAAGACACGCCCGUGUACUAGGUCGUAUGAAAACUGGAGAGUAUUCAGACUUGGGUCACACGGCCAAUUCACGCCCGUGUGUCUAGCUCGUGUGCCCUUCGAAGUGGCCACACACGUUCAUGUACUAGUCUGUGUGCUAGGCCGUGCCAAAACUGUAAGGUAUACUGACUUAUGCAACACGUCCAAGUCACACGCCCUUGUGUUAAGCCGUGUGCCAAUUAGGGGGUAUAUUGAUUUGUACCACACGGCCAGUCACACGCCCGUGUGUGAAACCAUGUGGAGCAUACUAACUUCAUUUUAAAAUCAACAUAACGGGAUACAUGACCAUGUAACAUGACCGUGUGUCACACAUGGCUGAGACACACGCCCGUGUCUCUGCCCGUGUGGAUAAAGAUAGGUUAUUUUCCAAGCCAUUUUACCACCCCAAUUUACCAUCCACUUACAUAACUCACAUGACACAUAAUAAUACCACAAUUAGGCAUUCCAAGCAACCAAAUUAAGAUUAAAACAUGAUUUCCCAAUAUCAACAAUGCAAGUACCCAAAUACCAAAUUAGGCUAUUCAAAUUCAUACUGAAAACUCAUAUCAUAAUUUAUCAAUGUGAUCACCAUCAAAUACGCAUUAUUUACCUUAAUUCACUAGCAAUCGAUACUCAAAAUUUUACUACUUGAUAUCCAUAAUACCUAUCAUUAACAAGCAACACAAUUUCAUUCAUCAACUCAUAAUAUAAGCCAAUUGCACAAAUAUAACACAGCCUAAUCAACCAAAAUAUGCCAACUUCCUUGGCUAUAUACAAACCAAACAUAAAUAUUCAUAAGCCAACUCAAAUGGCUAUAUCAUUCACCAAAAUUAACUCAAAAUCCCUAUGCAUGCCAUAUACCAUAUAUACAUAACUUCAAAAGUACCAAAAUAGACGUUUCAAAAGUACCAAAAUAGACGUUUGAUAGUGCGAUGAUGUUCCUGAUGACUCCCGUAUCUGAGCUAGCCUUGAUUCAUUAUAAAACAUGGGGAAAUAACACGAAGUAAGCUUUAUAGCUUAGUAAGCUCGUAUGUAAAUAACUUAUUCAACGAAUAAAUGUAAAUCAACCAAUUUCACAUCAACUACAAACCUUUCUCAUGUUUUAAAACAUGAUUAAAUGUCAUCUCACAACUACAAACCUUUCUCAUGUUUUAAAACAUGAUUAAAUGUCAUCUCAUUAAACUUUCUAUAUUUAAUACUCGAAUAGGUUCUAUACGUACCUGUAUUACCUCGUACUAACCUCUUUCUCAACCACACCAUUCGUUUACCCAUUGAACCAUUCAGAAUAGAAAUUGGAUACUCAACAGUCUCAUACAAUAAGUACCUAUACCGUGGCCCGUAGCCAAAUCAAGGUAACUUAUCCGAAGAACAAUUAUCAUGGCCCGAAACCAAAUCAUCCGAUAUGCAUAGCCCGAAGCCAAAUCAGUAUAACUCGCACCCGAAAUGCUAUAUCAUGGCCAGAAGCCAAGUCAACUUAUCAUCUAAUAACAUGACAUUAGUAUCCAAAUCUAUUCCUAAAAUUCAACGAAGAUUUCUCAUUUUCUGUUUCUAUCAUCGAAUGCAUUCGUAAAGUCGUUUUCACAAUUCGAGUGUUAUCCAUAAUCUCAUAUUCACAUUUAUGCAAUAUCAAAGCUUUUAACAUACUUUUAUAAUGAGAUUACCACAUACGAUAUUACCUCGUAUUCGGAAUUGACAGAUCAGAUCGACUACUCAAUAACCUUACUUUUCCCUGGAUCUAAUUCUGGAUUCAUCUUUUCUUGAUCUAAAUAUAUUCAAAAUUAACUUAUUAAAUAAACCAUUCAUUCAAUUUACUCCAAGACAUGCAUUUAGGCCUAUUUGCACAUUAGCUCCUAAACUUUCACAUUUAAUCAAUUUAGUCCCUAAUUCACAAAUACACAAAAUUCACAUGAUUUCACUAAACCCAAGCUUGGAUGAAUUAUUCAUAGGUCCCUAGCAGCCCAAAACUUUCAUUUAUUUCACAUUUCAACCACACAAUUUGCACAAUUCAUAAUUUAAUCCCUAAUUUACAUUUUUGUCAAAAAUUACUUUACAAAACUAGUAAAACUAUCAUCAAGCUUUCAUAUUUCAUCAUUAAACAUCAAAGAACACAUAGAUUCAACAAUGGAAACUCUUAAAAUCUUUAACAGUUUCAAAAUUUAAGGUACAGGCUAGCUAGAUUAAGCUACAACUGGUGGCUCAUUAUGAUAUACUAUAUGGAUAAACUAUAGUUGGUUGCCUUGUUUCUUGUCUUGUUCUUCAGCUAAUGAUAUACUAUAUGGCCGGCAAUGGCUGCAAUUUAUUUCUAAUACUCGAUUGAAUUCCAUCCUGGUCUGGAACCUAUAGUUUCUUUAGUGAUUUCAAUAUGUUUGAAGUUUGUGUAGCUGAUGUAUUAUUUUGAGGGAUCCAUUUAUAAUGUUAUCAUUAGCUUCAAGCUUUGUAAAUGUGUAUCAGGGAUAUAACAUUGAAUUUUUGAAGGAAUUGUUCCAUUUUCUUCUUUUGUUUUCUUAGUUUUCCUUUCUAUCUUAAAAUAUCUACAUAAAGCUUGAUGGUUUACUGGUACAAUCGUUGCUAAUAGAGCUUGGUAAUUUUCCUCAAAUAAAAUAACUCUCUCUACGAUUGUUGUAAUUUCAUUGCGCUACAUGGAUGACUAUAGUUGUUCCGACCAGUAUGACAUCAUAUCUUUAUCUCUACUCUAAUGGAGAAGUAUCUUUGGCUUCC
rnacentral:lncRNA from 1 species